CGGGUACGUUAAUAGCGUAUUCGUUUGACGUUAGCGACAGAAGAAAGCACCGGCUAACUCCGUGCCAGCAGCCGCGGUAAUACGGAGGGUGCGAGCGUUAAUCGGAAUUACUGGGCGUAAAGCGCAUGCAGGUGGUUUGUUAAGUCAGAUGUGAAAGACCCGGGGCGUCAACCUCGGAAUAGCAUUUGAAACUGGCAGACUAGAGUACUGUAGAGGGGGGUAGGAAUUUCAGGUGUAGCGGUGAAAUGCGUAGAGAUCUGAAGGAAUACCGGUGGCGAAGGCGGCCCCCUGGACAGAUACUGACACUCAGAUGCGAAAGCGUGGGGAGCAAACAGGAUUAGAUACCCUGGUAG
rnacentral:rRNA from 1 species